UUUUAUUUGAGAGUUUGAUCCUGGCUCAGGAUGAACGCUGGCGGCGUGCCUAACACAUGCAAGUUGAGCGAUUUACUUCGGUAAAGAGCAGCGGACGGGUGAGUAACGCGUGGGUAACCUACCCUGUACACACGGAUAACAUACCGAAAGGUAUGCUAAUACGGGAUAAUAUAUUUGAGAGGCAUCUCUU
rnacentral:rRNA from 1 species